GUCUCUUCAGAAACAUCCGAUAAAAUUAAAACGAUACAAAGAAAAUUAGCAUGCCCCUGCGCAAGGGUAACACGCACAAAUCGAGAAAUACGCCCAUAUAGU